UACGUAGGGCGCAAGCGUUGUCCGGAAUUAUUGGGCGUAAAGAGCUCGUAGGCGGCCUGUUGCGUCCGCUGUGAAAUCCCGGGGCUCAACCCCGGGCCUGCAGUGGAUACGGGCUGGCUAGAGGCAGGCAGGGGAGAACGGAAUUCCUGGUGUAGCGGUGAAAUGCGCAGAUAUCAGGAGGAACACCUGUGGCGAAAGCGGCUCACUGGACCGCAACUGACGCUGAGGCGCGAAAGCGUGGGGAGCGAACAGG
rnacentral:rRNA from 1 species